AGAGUUUUACUGAGAAGUAAUAUUAGCUACAUAUAUAUAUAUGUGUGUGUGUGUGUGUUUUAUUGUAAUUUAUUGUUGGAACUGAAAUAGUUAACUGUGGGCCGUAACUAACGUUACGCCAAAACAACAACAUCGAGAAACUCAUCUGACAGCCCUCCAGGACGUAACUCAAUAAGAAGCAACUUAAGAGUGAACACCCUAAACACAAACUAGUCUAUGGAUGAUCUACGUUGGCUAUGUGAUGGGUGGAAGACCUGGUUCAAAUAGACCCUCGCUGUGAAAUGCCUCUACUCUUCCUUCCUUUGUGGACAAAGUCGGGAGGAUUCAGCCCUGCUUGGAUGCACAAAUGGUUAUUUAAUUUACAUUUAGCUUAUCUCCGAGGGUUAGUAUGAUGAGUCGUUACUGUUUAGCCGUCAACUGUAAAACAAUAACCUUUUUUUUUUUUUUCUCCUUUAUAGCCUGACGGGGUGACCAAUGCUCUGCAUCAUUUUCCAGUCACGCCUCUAUUUCCAUAUGAAAAUAUAAUGGGUUACAGUAAAAUUUAACAUGCACAAAAACUCUCUCGCACACACACACACACACACACACAUAUAAUCGAGCUGAGCCGUCCCGCCCUCGGGACUUGCACAAUACUGAGCUCAACCCGACAGGACGUUUCUUGUAAAUUACAAUUAUUUCUUUAUACUGCAACGCGAGAACUGAUUGGCUAUCGCCAGGGGACACCAACGCUGACCCCCCGAGUGAUACAAGAAGUAGGAUUAAGGAAAGGAGAUACUAGGUUCACACACACACACA